CGGGGUGUAGCGCAGCUUGGUAGCGCAUCUGCUUUGGGAGCAGAGGGUCGCUGGUGGGGGCAAUAACCCUUCGAAAAACGCUCACCGA
rnacentral:tRNA from 1 species